rnacentral:rRNA from 1 species
UACGUAGGGUGCAAGCGUUGCCCGGAUUUAUUGGGCGUAAAGGGCGCGUAGGCGGCUCUGCACGUCCGUUGUGAAAUCGCCCGGCUCAACUGGGCGGGGUCAGCGGAUACGGCAGAGCUUGAGCAAGCUAGGGGGCAAUGGAAUUCCGGGUGUAGCGGUGGAAUGCGUAGAGAUCCGGAAGAACACCGGUGGCGAAGGCGGUCUGCUGGGCAGUUGCUGACACUGAGGCGCGACAGCGUGGGGAGCAAACAGG